rnacentral:rRNA from 1 species
UACAGAGGAUGCAAGCGUUAUCCGGAAUGAUUGGGCGUAAAGCGUCUGUAGGUGGCUUUUUAAGUCCGCCGUCAAAUCCCAGGGCUCAACUCUGGACAGGCGGUGGAAACUACCAAGCUGGAGUACGGUAGGGGCAGAGGGAAUUUCCGGUGGAGCGGUGAAAUGCGUAGAGAUCCGGAGGAAGACCGGUGGCGAAGGCGGCCUGCUGGGCAGUUUCUGACACUGAGGAGCGAAAGCGUGGGGAGCGAACAGG